GACGAACGCUGGCGGCGUGCUUAACACAUGCAAGUCGAACGGAAAGGCCCUGCUUUUGUGGGGUGCUCGAGUGGCGAACGGGUGAGUAACACGUGAGUAACCUGCCCUUGACUUUGGGAUAACUUCAGGAAACUGGGGCUAAUACCGGAUAGGAGCUCCUGCUGCAUGGUGGGGGUUGGAAAGUUUCGGCGGUUGGGGAUGGACUCGCGGCUUAUCAGCUUGUUGGUGGGGUAGUGGCUUACCAAGGCUUUGACGGGUAGCCGGCCUGAGAGGGUGACCGGCCACAUUGGGACUGAGGUACGGCCCAGACUCCUACGGGAGGCAGCAGUGGGGAAUAUUGCACAAUGGGCGGAAGCCUGAUGAAGCAACGCCGCGUGCGGGAUGACGGCCUUCGGGUUGUAAACCGCUUUCGCCUGUGACGAAGCGUGAGUGACGGUAAUGGGUAAAGAAGCACCGGCUAACUACGUG
rnacentral:rRNA from 1 species